AUGAACGCUGGCGGCGUGCCUAAUACAUGCAAGUCGAGCGAACAGACGAGAGCGCUUGCACUCUCUGACGUUAGCGGCGGACGGGUGAGUAACACGUUGGUAACCUACCUAUAAGAUUGGGAUAACUUCGGGAAACCGGAGCUAAUACCGGAUAAUAUUUAGCUUCGCAUGAAGCAAUAGUGAAAGACGGUUCUGCUGUCCCUUAUAGAUGGACCCGCGGUGUAUUAGCUAGUUGGUGGGGUAACGGCUCACCAAGGCGACGAUACAUAGCCGACCUGAGAGGGUGAUCGGCCACACUGGAACUGAGACACGGCCCAGACUCCUACGGGAGGCAGCAGUAGGGAAUCUUCCGCAAUGGGCGAAAGUCUGACGGAGCAAUGCCGCGUGAGUGAAGAAGGUUUUCGGAUCGUAAAGCUCUGUUGUAAGGGAGGAACAGGUGCGUUAGUAACUGAACGUACCUUGACGGUACCUUACCAGAAAGCCACGGCUAACUACGUG
rnacentral:rRNA from 1 species